rnacentral:misc_RNA from 1 species
GAUGAAGAACGCAGCGAAAUGCGAUAAGUAAUGUGAAUUGCAGAAUUCAGUGAAUCAUCGAAUCUUUGAACGCACCUUGCACCCUUUGGCUAUUCCGAAGGGUAUGCCUGUUUGAGUAUCAUGAACACCUCAACUCUCAUGGUUUGCCAUGAUGAGCUUGGACUUUGGGGGUCUUGCUGGCCUGUGGUCAGCUCCUCUCAAAUGGAUUAGCUUGCCAGUGUUUGGUGGCAUCACCGGUGUGAUAACUAUCUACGCUUGUGGUUUUCCACCAGGUAACCUUCAGCAAUGGGGGUUCGCUGGGGCUCAUAAAUGUCUCUCCUCAGUGAGGACAGCUCUUUGAACGUUUGAUCUCAAAUCAGGUAGGACUACCCGCUGAACUUAAGCAUAUCAAUAAGCGGAGGA